UUUGGACAAGGAUUUAGUCCUAGACGAAAUAUGUAUUCGAACUGCCGAAGUGGAAAAAGAGGCUAAAAAGAAUUCAUAAAACUGACCACGGCUUACUGAAAUCAAUUGUAUGUGGUUCUGUCCGACUGAUUAAGGAAAAAGACACGUAGCUCCCUCUAAUUCUAAUAUGUCUACACGUCCAUAAGAAAAAGAGAAAAGUCAUCCAGAGAGAAAAGAGAGACGUACUGAUGGAAAAAAAUAAACAAAUCGAAAAAAGGAUACGUAGAGCAAACUUCUACGGAAUAACAUGGAUUACCUAUCUAUAAAGAGCCAAAAUUUCAGUUUGCCAAUAGAUUUCUUCCGUCACCAUGUCCGAGCCAUGUUCGAAUAGUAGAGGGAAGAAAGAAGAAAAAAUCCAACAAAAUCGAAACCAUGAUGGAAUCACACUCUAACAACCAGAGUCCUUGUCACUCCUGCCUUCCAAAAUCUCUACCGAAAUAUAGAGUAUUAACGUGGGAGAAAACCGAAGCUGGCCCAAGUACGGUAUCCCAAACCUGUCCAAACGCAGGAUCGUAUGGCUCCUGGUGUGUACAUAGGCCUUCGAUGACAACGAGUCAACGACGAAUGACGAAGCAGUUCUAUCCAUCCGGAUGUUAACGGUUAUUAAGCCCCUUAUGUCGGUUCACAAGUUGUUCAUACUCAAAUUUGUACAAGUUUAAUAGUCACUCGGCUUGGAUGGCUGAGCGCAUAUUUUGAACAAUAGUCUGAGUGUAUUUGUGAGUUAAUCUGAUGUUGAGCCUGUCGCC
rnacentral:lncRNA from 1 species